rnacentral:rRNA from 2 species
UGGGGAAUAUUGCGCAAUGGGGGAAACCCUGACGCAGCAACGCCGCGUGAGUGAAGAAGGUUUUCGGAUCGUAAAACUCUGUCUUUGGGGAAGAAUAAAUGACGGUACCCAAGGAGGAAGCCCCGGCUAACUACGUGCCAGCAGCCGCGGUAAUACGUAGGGGGCAAGCGUUGUCCGGAAUUAUUGGGCGUAAAGGGCGUGUAGGCGGUAUCGUAAGUCAGAUGUGAAAGUUUGAGGCUCAACCUCAAAAUUGCAUUUGAAACUGCAAUACUUGAGUACUGGAGAGGUAAGUGGAAUUCCUAGUGUAGCGGUGAAAUGCGUAGAUAUUAGGAGGAACACCAGUGGCGAAGGCGACUUACUGGACAGUUACUGACGCUGAGGCGCGAAAGCGUGGGGAGCAAACAGG